CCUACGGGCGGCUGCAGUGAGGAAUAUUGGUCAAUGGACGAGAGUCUGAACCAGCCAAGUAGCGUGAAGGAUGACUGCCCUAUGGGUUGUAAACUUCUUUUAUAAAGGAAUAAAACGAGGCACGUGUGCCCUUUUGCAUGUACUUUAUGAAUAAGGAUCGGCUAACUCCGUGCCAGCAGCCGCGGUAAUACGGAGGAUUCGAGCGUUAUCCGGAUUUAUUGGGUUUAAAGGGAGCGUAGAUGGGUUGUUAAGUCAGUUGUGAAAGUUUGCGGCUCAACCGUAAAAUUGCAAUUGAUACUGGCAGUCUUGAGUACAGUUGAGGUAGGCGGAAUUCGUGGUGUAGCGGUGAAAUGCUUAGAUAUCACGAAGAACCCCGAUUGCGAAGGCAGCUUACUAAACUGUGACUGACAUUGAUGCUCGAAAGUGUGGGUAUCAAACAGGAUUAGAUACCCGAGUAGUC
rnacentral:rRNA from 1 species